UGCAGUCGAGCGGACAGAAGGGAGCUUGCUCCCGGAUGUUAGCGGCGGACGGGUGAGUAACACGUGGGUAACCUGCCUGUAAGACUGGGAUAACUCCGGGAAACCGGAGCUAAUACCGGAUAGUUCCUUGAACCGCAUGGUUCAAGGAUGAAAGACGGUUUCGGCUGUCACUUACAGAUGGACCCGCGGCGCAUUAGCUAGUUGGUGAGGUAACGGCUCACCAAGGCGACGAUGCGUAGCCGACCUGAGAGGGUGAUCGGCCACACUGGGACUGAGACACGGCCCAGACUCCUACGGGAGGCAGCAGUAGGGAAUCUUCCGCAAUGGACGAAAGUCUGACGGAGCAACGCCGCGUGAGUGAUGAAGGUUUUCGGAUCGUAAAGCUCUGUUGUUAGGGAAGAACAAGUGCAAGAGUAACUGCUUGCACCUUGACGGUACCUAACCAGAAAGCCACGGCUAACUACGUGCCAGCAGCCGCGGUAAUACGUAGGUGGCAAGCGUUGUCCGGAAUUAUUGGGCGUAAAGGGCUCGCAGGCGGUUUCUUAAGUCUGAUGUGAAAGCCCCCGGCUCAACCGGGGAGGGUCAUUGGAAACUGGGAAACUUGAGUGCAGAAGAGGAGAGUGGAAUUCC
rnacentral:rRNA from 1 species